rnacentral:rRNA from 1 species
UAGCUGCAUUAUUUGACGUUAGCGACAGAAGAAGCACCGGCUAACUCCGUGCCAGCAGCCGCGGUAAUACGGAGGGUGCGAGCGUUAAUCGGAAUUACUGGGCGUAAAGCGCAUGCAGGUGGUUUGUUAAGUCAGAUGUGAAAGCCCGGGGCUCAACCUCGGAAUUGCAUUUGAAACUGGCAGACUAGAGUACUGUAGAGGGGGGUAGAAUUUCAGGUGUAGCGGUGAAAUGCGUAGAGAUCUGAAGGAAUACCGGUGGCGAAGGCGGCCCCCUGGACAGAUACUGACACUCAGAUGCGAAAGCGUGGGGAGCAAACAGGAUUAGAUACCCUGGUAGUCCACGCCGUAAACGAUGUCUACUUGGAGGUUGUGGCCUUGAGCCGUGGCUUUCGGAGCUAACGCGUUAAGUAGACCGCCUGGGGAGUACGGUCGCAAGAUUAAAACUCAAAUGAAUUGACGGGGGCCCGCACAAGCGGUGGAGCAUGUGGUUUAAUUCGAUGCAACGCGAAGAACCUUACCUACUCUUGACAUCCAGAGAACUUUCCAGAGAUGGAUUGGUGCCUUCGGGAACUCUGAGACAGGUGCUGCAUGGCUGUCGUCAGCUCGUGUUGUGAAAUGUUGGGUUAAGUCCCGCAACGAGCGCAACCCUUAUCCUUGUUUGCCAGCGAGUAAUGUCGGGAACUCCAGGGAGACUGCCGGUGAUAAACCGGAGGAAGGUGGGGACGACGUCAAGUCAUCAUGGCCCUUACGAGUAGGGCUACACACGUGCUACAAUGGCGCAUACAGAGGGCAGCCAACUUGCGAAAGUGAGCGAAUCCCAAAAAGUGCGUCGUAGUCCGGAUUGGAGUCUGCAACUCGACUCCAUGAAGUCGGAAUCGCUAGUAAUCGUGGAUCAGAAUGCCACGGUGAAUACGUUCCCGGGCCUUGUACACACCGCCCGUCACACCAUGGGAGUGGGCUGCAAAAGAAGUAGGUAGUUUAACCUUCGGGGGGACGCUUACCACUUUGUGGUUCAUGACUGGGGUGAAGUCGUAACAAGGUAGCGCUAGGGGAACCUGGCGCUGGAU